rnacentral:lncRNA from 1 species
CGGUGAGUAACCUGCUUCCUCCCAGAGAAGGUAGGAGGUGGGUAAGGAGGUUAAUGAGGAUCCUGAGCACUUGAGCCCUUCCCUUUCAGAAGUGGAUGCUCUGCUUUUCUGUCAACGGGUGUUCAAGGAAGGUGAGUGUCUGUAGAGUCCCCUCCCCAGAUCCCCACUGCUUCCCGCCACCAGCUGGGCUCCCUCUCAGAACUCUCCCAGCUUCCCUGAUUUUGUCCCUUUGCCUCCUGUUCUUCCCUCCACGUUUUCCCACCCCCACUGUGCCCGCAAACCACCCUGGUCUGAACUAGGUCCAUGCCUGUCUGCCCUGCUCAGCUCAGGCGUACUUUAAGGACACAGACUGUGGAGUUUGACAGCUCUCAUCCCAGGUUCCUACCCUGUGAACUUGUGCUGGUUACUUAACCCUUCAGUUGCCUCAUUUGCAAAAUCGGACCAACAAUAACCCAUCUCUUGGGCUACUGUGAAAUAGGAAUCAAGUGAACUUGUGGUUUUCACGGGGCCCCACACAUGAUAGGGGCCCUAUCACUGGGAGCGGAUUGUUCCCGUGUUGCCCUCCCCAUUCCUGCCAUGUCCUCCUGACUCCAUGUGAACAGUUGUCCUGGUCUACCCCCCUUCUGUGUGAGUGUCAAGCGAGACUGACUGGGGAUCACUGUGUGAGCAUGUAAAGCCUGUACAACUCUAAGGUGGUGGUGUUUGUUGGUCUUUGAAGUGGAAGGACAGUCUCAGGGUUCUGUUCUCGCCUUCACCCGGACCUUCAUCGUUACCCCCGGUAGCAGUUCCAGUCUGUGCAUCGUGAAUGACGAGCUAUUUGUGAGGGACGCCAGCCCCCAAGAGACUCAGAGUACCUUCUCCAUCCCAGUGUCCACACCCUCCUCCAGCUCUGAGCUCUCCCUCUCCCAGGAGCGGCAGGAAAUGGUGCAGGCUUUCUCUGCCAGUCUGGGAUGAAGCUGGAAUGGUCUCAGAAGUGCCUUCAGGACAAUGAGUGGAACUACACCAGAGCUGGUCAGAUCUUCACUGUGCUCCAGACCAAGGGCAAGAUCCCAGUGGAGGCCUUCAAACAGACCCCCUGAAAGAAGCCCUUCCACGUCUUCUUUGUCUUCGCUCACAUCCUCUUUGUUUCCUCUCUUCACCAGCCGAAGGCCAUGCCCAGGAGCGGCAUUGGAGGCCUGGCCGAUCAGGAAGCCAAAGUUAACGGGCAGGCUGCAAUGCCAUAACCACCCGAAGAGCCACUUGCCCUGUGUAUUUGCCCCACUCAUGAUCCCUGUUUAUUUUCAUAAUAAAGAGUGACAUUGCACGGUGUACGUUGUGUGCCCUGGAUUGCUCUUCUCCUGCCCCCAACCAUGCGCCAGUGGGGCCAGGGCUGAAAGCCCUGCAUAGCUGUUCGCCCCUGGCUGGCCUUAGCAGGUACAUCAAUCUGGCUUUCCUUCAUAGGUAAUUUUGUCAAUAAACCCUGAUGAGAAAGGACACACGCUCCUUCCAGAGACUGACCUUGAGAGACAGUGGAACCCUGCCAGAUGCUCGAUCUGAGGCCCACAGAAGCAGGCAUGUUACCUUGGCACACCAGGAGCUUUCAUCCACCGUCUCGACCCCUCCCUUUCCUGAAGGUGCACUAUUCGAGGAGGAGCCUGAGGUCAGCACCUGCAGGGGGAAGAAGACUCAGCUCGUCGGCCCAGCGCACUCCUCAGAGAGCUGACAUCGGGUGCUCCAUGUCCAUGUUCUCAACGGUGUUCAGCCAUUUAUUUUCACUUCUAAACAAACAGCAGUAGCAUAGAAUCUCACCUUAUGGUCAGUUCUCAAUGACUGGCAUUUAGCAGUUGUUGAGAACUGACCGUAAGGUGGUCAGUUCCAAAUUGCAGGCAAGAGUUGAGCGGGACAUUUGCCCAAUUUAUUGCCCACACUUCUGUGAUGCUUGCACAUUAGACAAUCAGCAGGCAUACUUUUCAAAAUUAAAAUAAUAGCAGUAUGACGUUGUCAAGUCAUAGUCCUAUAAAUUAUGCCUCCACUUCUGUGUUUGGCAUACAUUAUUUCCUACCACUUGUACCUUUCAGCUCUUUAUGUACAUGUACAUUAGGGAUCCGUAUGUUGGAGUGUGAAUUUCUUAAAACUAGGAACUAAGGGGAUAGUUGUCAUUACAAAAAGAAUAAUGCCCAUCUUGUUCUUCCCUGUAAUGCCUCAACAGUCAAAGGCAACCUCCCGUAUCUCUCUAAGCCUUGGUUCUCUCACCUAGGGAGCAGAGAUGCUAAGCACUGCUGUGCUUCUCAGCGUCAUCUUGGGGCCUAGAGAUGGUCUCACAUGUUAUUCAUCAACCACAGUGCCUGUUCAACUCAGGAUCUGAGAGCUGCCAGGGCUCCUUUGUGG